UUAGGCAUCAGAAUAGUUAGUGCAAGCAUAAUACAAAUAUAAUCGAGGAAUUUCUUAAAACGUGAAGACUUCUUUCAUACAAAUAAAGUGCAUUAUAUAUCUUUUCAAAACAUUCGUCUGUAGUUUUACAAUAUUACAUUAUACAUUGAAAUUAAACAGUUUUCAUUUGCGAAUCACAUCUGUCUAUAUUUUCACGAUUACAUGUAUAUAACAGAAUAUAGAUAUAAUAUGUAUAACUCUAAAGUAUCACGUUUGUCAGAUAAACGUCUGUUUGUUUCGUUUUUCGUUUGUUUAGUGGAAAUUCCGUCUUUCUGAUGCAUCUAUCAGUGCUUGCCAUACAUAUAAAACAUAAGUGGUUCUGAAAUUAGAAAGCAAAAUUACAUAUCUGGUUUUAAAUACUACAUGUACAUGUUUAUAGAUAUCAACAGCCAUAAAAUCACAUCUUCUAUAGAUACGAUGUAUCUUUUGAAACACGCUAAUAUUUUAAAAUUAAAUACGCGGACUUGUAUAAAGUAAAGAUUAAAGAUCAAGGUAUUUUUAUGCCUUGAACAUGUAUUUUUUUUUAAAUUGCGCUCAUGGUAGAAGUGUGAACGCCGAAAGUCGGAUAUCUAAAGCACACAUUUAAAAAUACUGAAUAUUCUUUCAAAAGUACAAAUUCUGAAAGACUUGUAUCUAGAGUAUACAUUUUAUGAAUACAUUUGUAUGCACUGAAAACAUUUUUUUUUAAUUAUUUUUUUUAUAAAUUUCCUUUCUUUCUUUUAAAUAUUCAAAUUAAAUAAACAAUAAAUGAUACAAGUUUUAAACAAAUCUGCCUCCAACAUCAGCCAGUUCUCUGCAGAGUACAAUCAUCAAUUGUCCGCAAGUGGUACCAAGUCUGCUGUUUCGCGUUGUUCACAUCGACGUCCCAUAGUUCUGUAAUAAUUUUCUGUUGUUGUUGAAUUCUAUAUGCACACAUCUCGUUGCGGAGUAGUAGAUGGCUGUGGGAUCCUGAAUUUGCUAAUCACUAAAACUGUCUAAAAUACUUCCAGUUAGUUUUAAUAUGUUAAUUCUUUACAGUUUUCAGCUAGGGCAAAAUAUAGUCUUCAUAUCAUCUUGGUAAAAUAGUCUUCAUAAUCAAUUUAUUUGCAAACUGUGUCGGGUAUUUUCAAUAAGAAUUGCACGGGGAAUAAAAGUAUAAUACACUGAUGAGAAUCUGGCAUUGUGCGAAUAUAUCUGUUGCUAAAAUAUUUCUUAUUUGCCAGGUUUCUUUGUUGUUUUCUACACAGAAUUUCAGAUUAUUUCUUUUUUCAUUUUAACAUUGUUCAUAAAUUUUGUUUUAACAAAGUUUCUUUAAUUGUAGAUGGAGAGAAAGAUUGAUAUAUCAUUAUAGCUCGGGGUUAUUUUUCGUUGAUUGUUGUAUUUUUCAUGAUUUUAUCUUUUUCACUUUGGCGUUCUACCAGGAAGUUGCUGAUAGAGUUGACUGAUAAUAAGUCCUUGAGGGCUGUUAUUGUUACGCAGUUUCUCAUUGGUCAAUAUCGUGCGUUCAACCGUGAAUUUGUCAGUCUCCUUUUGCAUAUUUGACAGAAACUUUUAGCUAACUGGCAUUGUCUUCUUGCUUGUAUUGUGUGCAGACGUGUUUUAGAAAUUUUGCUUGAAAUUUAAUUAAAGUUCCACCGUAAUACGAGCACUCAGAUAUAAUAAAAGGAUAUAACAAUGGACAGGAGGAAUGAUUACACGUAUUUAAGUUAUUAUAAGACUCGUUUGACAAAGACUGUGUAUCCAUGUCAUCCGUCUCUAUGGUCUGAUCAGAAUGCGAAGCACCUGAUUCCAUACGGGAUUCAUUAUAAAGCAUUAGAAACAUCAGAUUCAUCAUUACUGCUUGAGCUAGAAUCAUCUGGAGGUAUUACAUAGUUAACCCUUCGUCUUGGAUAACCUUUGACAGCUUUACGUUCGGGCCAUUCAGCAAUGUUAGCAAGCCUUAUCUGAUCUGCAUGCACUUGAACAACGGAGUUGUCAAGCUGGUUCUUAAUAAGGACCUCCCUAAAGGCAGAACUCGUAAAUUUGACCCUCGGUCAUGAAUUAUCUGGAGAGGACAUCCAUAUCUAGGAUAUAUCUCAUUCAAAAAAUCUGGUGGUCGUGAAAAGAAAUCAGCAAUAACAUUUGCCUUUCCUGGAAGAUACUCUAUCUUACAGUUGUAACCACUAAUAGACAAUGCCCAUAACUGAAUUUUCUUGUUUUGCAUUUCACUUUUUAAUAAAUACUGCAGCGGAGAAUGGUCGCAUUUGAUUCAGCAUUGUGUAAAAAGUAAUUUAAACGUUGCAAAGAAUAAAAGAUGGCGUACGCCUCCUUCUCAA